rnacentral:ribozyme from 1 species
AAGAAUUAGAACGUCAAAAUAGUACGACUAAUCGUCAACACUUGUUUUAGAUCUCGAGCGUCUGCUUUUCUCUGUUCAACCUUUUUUUUUUUUUUUAUCUGUUUCAUAAUCCUAAACUUAAUUAGCAUAACAGGAGGCGUACGAAGUAUUCAAUGCGCUCUUUUCAACACGCAAACCAAGCCGUGCAAAAAUCCAACAUGGGAAUGCAAUGAGAUCACGAAAAAUGGGAGAGAAUUAAUUAUAUUCUUGAUGAAGAGAAAAGAAUGAUACAAGAAAU